rnacentral:rRNA from 1 species
UACGUAGGGUGCAAGCGUUGUUCGGAAUCAUUGGGCGUAAAGCGCGUGUAGGUGGUUAUGUAAGUCGAGUGUGAAAUCCCUGGGCUCAACCGAGGAAGUGCAUCCGAAACUACAUAGCUAGAGGACGGUAGAGGAAGGUGGAAUUCCUAGUGUAGAGGUGAAAUUCGUAGAUAUUAGGAGGAAUACCGGUGGCGAAGGCGGCCUUCUGGGCCGGACCUGACACUGG